AUUGAACGCUGGCGGCAGGCCUUACACAUGCAAGUCGAACGGCAGCACGGGGGCAACCCUGGUGGCGAGUGGCGAACGGGUGAGUAACACAUCGGAACGUACCCUAUCGUGGGGGAUAACCAGUCGAAAGAUUGGCUAAUACCGCAUGCACUGGAGACAGCAAAGCGGGGGACCGGAAACGGCCUCGCGCGAUUGGAGCGGCCGAUGUCCGAUUAGCUAGUUGGUGGGGUAAAGGCUCACCAAGGCGACGAUCGGUAGCUGGUCUGAGAGGAUGAUCAGCCACACUGGGACUGAGACACGGCCCAGACUCCUACGGGAGGCAGCAGUGGGGAAUCUUGCGCAAUGGGCG
rnacentral:rRNA from 1 species